UACGUAGGGGGCAAGCGUUAUCCGGAUUUACUGGGUGUAAAGGGUGCGUAGGUGGUAUGGUAAGUCAGAUGUGAAAACUUGAAGCUCAACUUCAAGAUUGCAUCUGAAACUGCUAAACUAGAGUAUAGGAGAGGAAAGUGGAAUUCCGAGUGUAGCGGUGAAAUGCGUAGAGAUUCGGAGGAACACCAGUAGCGAAGGCGACUUUCUGGACUAUUACUGACACUGAGGCACGAAAGCGUGGGGAGCGAACAGG
rnacentral:rRNA from 1 species